UUACAAAGACUUCUUGUUUCACGUUUCAAAAUACGACUUCGAAGAAAAACAGAAUAUUCCUUACGCUCUUUGCGACGUGCUAUGGCCAACAAUAAAGUCAAUAGCGUUAUUUUUAUUAUAAAACAGUCACAUUGAAAUAGUGACUGCAAACAAAGCCUAUGAUUGAAAAAUUUUGCUAAAUACGAUGGAAAUUAUUUCGAGGAGUAAAAUCAUUUAGAUUGAAGCUUAAAAUUAAGACUUGAAGUUAAAACACGUUUUUUUAACUAACAAUAAGAUCAAAAUUAAAAUAUAUUACUACUUGCGUACAAAAUGCGCGCGCAAUGUUUAGUUCAGCUAAACGAUCACAGCGCCAUCACACAGUGAAACGUAGAAUACACUUAUUGCGAUACUCAGACAUAUCGAUAUAUCUCGAUCUGUAGUUAUUGAAAUGUAACGCACAUCAGUAAAAGUGGGAAGCAGUAGCAAGAAGAAAUGUCACUUAGAAGUCUACAGAUUACUUCCAGAUUUCAUUUUUUUCUAUGGGAUUCGACGAUUUUUGUUUGAUGAUGGAUUUGACGAUAUAGAUGACAACUUUUUUCGCAUCUAACGCUCUCGCCACGCCGCACCUCGCUUCGCCUAGCCCCGUCGCAGCGCGGGGGUGGCCUGCCUCUCGCCUUUACUGUGGCGCCAUCCGUGACCCACCCUUCACAGUGAUUCCUACUCGACUCUGGCCGUUUUAU